CUUUAUUGAAACAGCCAGUCCCAGCAGGCCAUUGUCCCCAGCCUCAUGAUACUCAUUCCCAACAAAAGGACCAUGAAAUUACAGAAAGGGGCUUGCAGCUCUUCAGGAGCAGAGCCCACACAUCUCCCUGGGGCACGGAUUUCACUGGCACACAUUCCAGGGCUGGAUUUUGCUCUCCCUUCUGCACACACCUUGUUCCAUGAGACAAAACUGGAAGUCCUACACUACUUAAAGAUGUUGACACCUGGCACACGAGUGCUGUUCUUCCUGGGAUUAACAUUCAGGAUAUUUCAGCAAAUACAUCCCUACAGGAUUCUAAACUAUUUAAUGUAUUAUGAAGCACAUAAAAAGACAAAUCUGUUACUCAAUUACCAACCAGCUCUAAUCAUUGUGCUUAUGUGUGUAGGGACUGAAUUGAUAUCACAAAGACAAUUAUCAAUCUGGCCUGUCCUGGUUUCCAAACACAAGCCUCUUCAAGUAUGUCUUUAAUGUGGUCUUUGUAAUGAAUAUGACUUAUCUUUAUGGCAUCAAUAGUGUUCUAUUUACUUCAUGGACAAGUUAAGUCAUGACCCUGUCUGCUUGAGACUGUCAGUGGGAAUGAGACCUGAAAUAUUAAAUAUCAAGAAGUACAGCUCUGUGCAUAAAAAUCUUCCUUGAACUCUAAA